GGGUUGUGAGGUUAAGCGAACAAGCGUACACGGUGGAUGCCCUGGCAGUCAGAGGCGAUGAAGGACGUGCUAAUCUGCGAAAAGCGCCGGUAAGGUGAUAUGAACCGUUAUAACCGGCGAUGUCCGAAUGGGGAAACCCGGUGCACUUCGGUGCAUCAUCGUUAGCUGAAUACAUAGGCUAACGAGGCGAACCGGGGGAACUGAAACAUCUAAGUACCCCGAGGAAAAGAAAUCAACCGAGAUUCCCCCAGUAGCGGCGAGCGAACGGGGAACAGCCCAGAGCCUGAAUCAGCUUGUGUGUCAGUGGAACGGUCUGGAAAGGCCGGCGAUACAGGGUGACAGCCCCGUACACGAAGGCACACAGGCUGUGAGCUCGAUGAGUAGGGCGGGACACGUGAUAUCCUGUCUGAAGAUGGGGGGACCAUCCUCCAAGGCUAAAUACUCCUGACUGACCGAUAGUGAACCAGUACCGUGAGGGAAAGGCGAAAAGAACCCCGGCGAGGGGAGUGAAACAGAACCUGAAACCGUGUACGUACAAGCAGUGGGAGCCUUCGUAAGAGGGUGACUGCGUACCUUUUGUAUAAUGGGUCAGCGACUUAUAUUCUGUAGCAAGGUUAACCGUAUAGGGGAGCCGAAGGGAAACCGAGUCUUAACCGGGCGUUAAGUUGCAGGGUAUAGACCCGAAACCCGGUGAUCUAGCCAUGGGCAGGUUGAAGGUUGGGUAACACUAACUGGAGGACCGAACCGACUAAUGUUGAAAAAUUAGCGGAUGACCUGUGGCUGGGGGUGAAAGGCCAAUCAAACCGGGAGAUAGCUGGUUCUCCCCGAAAGCUAUUUAGGUAGCGCCUCGUGAACUCAUCUCCGGGGGUAGAGCACUGUUUCGGCUAGGGGGCCAUCCCGGCUUACCAACCCGAUGCAAACUGCGAAUACCGGAGAAUGUUAUCACGGGAGACACACGGCGGGUGCUAACGUCCGUCGUGAAGAGGGAAACAACCCAGACCGCCAGCUAAGGUCCCAAAGUCAUGGUUAAGUGGGAAACGAUGUGGGAAGGCCCAGACAGCCAGGAUGUUGGCUUAGAAGCAGCCAUCAUUUAAAGAAAGCGUAAUAGCUCACUGGUCGAGUCGGCCUGCGCGGAAGAUGUAACGGGGCUAAACCAUGCACCGAAGCUGCGGCAGCGACACUAUGUGUUGUUGGGUAGGGGAGCGUUCUGUAAGCCUGUGAAGGUGUGCUGUGAGGCAUGCUGGAGGUAUCAGAAGUGCGAAUGCUGACAUAAGUAACGAUAAAGCGGGUGAAAAGCCCGCUCGCCGGAAGACCAAGGGUUCCUGUCCAACGUUAAUCGGGGCAGGGUGAGUCGACCCCUAAGGCGAGGCCGAAAGGCGUAGUCGAUGGGAAACAGGUUAAUAUUCCUGUACUUGGUGUUACUGCGAAGGGGGGACGGAGAAGGCUAUGUCGGCCGGGCGACGGUUGUCCCGGUUUAAGCGUGUAGGCUGACUUUCCAGGCAAAUCCGGAAGGUUAAGGCUGAGGCGUGAUGACGAGGCACCACGGUGCUGAAGUGACAAAUGCCCUGCUUCCAGGAAAAGCCUCUAAGCAUCAGGUAACAUCAAAUCGUACCCCAAACCGACACAGGUGGUCAGGUAGAGAAUACCAAGGCGCUUGAGAGAACUCGGGUGAAGGAACUAGGCAAAAUGGUGCCGUAACUUCGGGAGAAGGCACGCUGACAUGUAGGUGAAGCCCCUGCGGGUGGAGCUGAAGUCAGUCGAAGAUACCAGCUGGCUGCAACUGUUUAUUAAAAACACAGCACUGUGCAAACACGAAAGUGGACGUAUACGGUGUGACGCCUGCCCGGUGCCGGAAGGUUAAUUGAUGGGGUUAUCGCAAGAGAAGCUCCUGAUCGAAGCCCCGGUAAACGGCGGCCGUAACUAUAACGGUCCUAAGGUAGCGAAAUUCCUUGUCGGGUAAGUUCCGACCUGCACGAAUGGCGUAAUGAUGGCCAGGCUGUCUCCACCCGAGACUCAGUGAAAUUGAACUCGCUGUGAAGAUGCAGUGUACCCGCGGCAAGACGGAAAGACCCCGUGAACCUUUACUACAGCUUGACACUGAACAUUGAGCCUUGAUGUGUAGGAUAGGUGGGAGGCUUUGAAGCGUGGACGCCAGUCUGCGUGGAGCCGACCUUGAAAUACCACCCUUUAAUGUUUGAUGUUCUAACCUGGCGCCGUGAUCCGGCGUGGGGACAGUGUCUGGUGGGUAGUUUGACUGGGGCGGUCUCCUCCCAAAGUGUAACGGAGGAGCACGAAGGUCAGCUAAUCCUGGUCGGACAUCAGGAGGUUAGUGCAAUGGCAUAAGCUGGCUUGACUGCGAGAGUGACGGCUCGAGCAGGUGCGAAAGCAGGUCAUAGUGAUCCGGUGGUUCUGUAUGGAAGGGCCAUCGCUCAACGGAUAAAAGGUACUCCGGGGAUAACAGGCUGAUACCGCCCAAGAGUUCAUAUCGACGGCGGUGUUUGGCACCUCGAUGUCGGCUCAUCACAUCCUGGGGCUGAAGUAGGUCCCAAGGGUAUGGCUGUUCGCCAUUUAAAGUGGUACGCGAGCUGGGUUUAGAACGUCGUGAGACAGUUCGGUCCCUAUCUGCCGUGGGCGCUGGAGAAUUGAGGGGGGCUGCUCCCAGUACGAGAGGACCGGAGUGGACGCAUCACUGGUGUUCGGGUUGUCAUGCCAAUGGCACUGCCCGGUAGCUAAAUGCGGAAGAGAUAAGUGCUGAAAGCAUCUAAGCACGAAACUUGCCCCGAGAUGAGUUCUCCCUGAGACUGUAAGUCUCCUGAAGGAACGUUGAAGACGACGACGUUGAUAGGCCGGGUGUGUAAGCGCAGCGAUGCGUUGAGCG
rnacentral:rRNA from 1 species